UACAGAGGUCUCGAGCGUUAGGCGGAAUCACUGGGCUUAAAGCGUGUGUAGGCGGAUCGUUAAGUACCUUGUGAAAUCCCACGGCUUAACCGUGGAACUGCUUGGUAUACUGGCGGUCUUGAGCCAGCUAGGGGCUACCGGAACAAAUGGUGGAGCGGUGAAAUGCGUAGAUAUCAUUUGGAACGCCAAUGGUGAAAACAGGUAGCUGGGGCUGUGCUGACGCUGGGACACGAAAGCCAGGGGAGCAAACGGG
rnacentral:rRNA from 1 species